GCCCCCAUGGCUCAGUGGUUAGAGCACCGGUCUCGAAAACCCGGGGGGUCGAGAGUUCGAAUCUCUCGGGGGGCA